AACGCUGGCGGCGUGCCUAAUACAUGCAAGUCGAACGGUCUUUCUAUGGAAGCUUGCUUCCACUGAGAAGAUAGUGGCGAACGGGUGAGUAACACGUGGGUAACCUGCCCAUAAGAGGGGGGAUAACAUCCGGAAACGGGUGCUAAUACCGCAUAGUUUUCUUGAUUGCAUGAUUGAGAAAGGAAAGACGGCCUUUGUGCUGUCGCUUAUGGAUGGACCCGCGGCGUAUUAGUUAGUUGGUGAGGUAACGGCUCACCAAGACGAUGAUACGUAGCCGACCUGAGAGGGUGAUCGGCCACAUUGGGACUGAGACACGGCCCAAACUCCUACGGGAGGCAGCAGUAGGGAAUCUUCCGCAAUGGACGAAAGUCUGACGGAGCAACGCCGCGUGAGUGAAAGAAGGUUUUCGGAUCGUAAAACUCUGUUGUCAGAGAAGAACAAGUUGGAGAGUAACUGCUCCAGCCUUGACGGUAUCUGACCAGAAAGCCACGGCUAACUACGUGCCAGCCGCCGC
rnacentral:rRNA from 1 species